AGUGAACGCUGGCGGUAGCCCUAACUCACGCAAGUCGAACGGCAGCUCAGUAAGACUUUGCUUUUAUGGGUGGCGAGUCCCGGCCGGGCGCGGAAACCAACGCACUCUACCUUUAAGAGGGCGAUAACGACGGGCAACCUACGCUAAUACAGCAUACGACCUACGGGUGAAACAAGGGGCCCUUCGGACCUUGCGCGAUCGAAUGAGCCGAAGUCGGAUUAGCUAGUUGGCGGGGUAAAGGCCCACCAAGGCGACGAUCCGUAGCCGGUCUGAGAGGAUGAUCAGCCACACUGGAACUGGGACACGCUCCAGACUCCUACGGGAGGCAACAGUCGGGAAUAUUGGACAAUGGGCGCAGACCUGAUCCAGCCAUACCGCGUGGAUGAAGAGGGCCUUCGGGUUGUAAAGCCCUUUUGUUGGGAAAGAAAAUCAGCAUGUUAAUACCCCGCUGUUCUGACGGUACCCAAAGAAUAGGCACCGGCUAACUUCGUG
rnacentral:rRNA from 1 species